rnacentral:lncRNA from 1 species
UUUUUUUUUUUUUUUUACAAAAACAGAUUAUGUCAUUACUUUUGUUUGAGUACCUCUUAAAAAACUAUAAUUUCGACCAAAAAAAGAAAGAAAGAGAUUAAGGUACAAAACUUUGAUAAUGGGACGAAAAAGAUAAAAAAAAAAAAAAAAAAAAGAUUAUCAAAAAAGUAUUAGGCCUAAGAUCUUGCAUGCCAGACGCGGGUUACAUCUUCAUAAGACUCUCAGUGAUGCUCGAAUAGAAAAAAGUUAAAUAGCCAAAUCAAGUAUAAAUUAGAAGAGGGUCAAUAAUUUUUCACAGAUUUUUCCAAAAUACGACUACGGUAAAUAGUUUUGCUUGAGUUAAAAAAAAUCUUUAGGAUUUACAAGAAUUCAGAAUUACGCC